GUAAUGGAUUUGAUUCUAUAGCGAAUAGUUUUUAUAUUGAUUCGAAUACAAAAAGAAAUACAAUUUCUUACUGUGAUCUGCACUUCUGUAAAGGAAAUGAUAAUCUCUAAGGACAAGAUGAGCAGCUGCCUGGUAGCUUUAGUUAUCACUUUGUUAGUGGGCACGGCCACAGCUGCCCAGUAUGUUGCUGAGGGAUACUUUGUUGCUGAUGAUGAGACUGUCCAAGCCUAUAUAAGGAGCAUCCCCGGGACAGCUACUCCAGCUGCUAAGCGCACACAAGCUCUUGCAGAAUUAAAUAAAGAUAUCGUCUAUUACUUAACUGAGGU